rnacentral:rRNA from 1 species
GACGAACGCUGGCGGCGUGCUUAACACAUGCAAGUCGAACGAUGAAGAAGAGAAACGCGAACUUCGGUUCAAAUUUCACUUCGGAUUAGUGGCAGACGGGUGAGUAACGCGUGAGCAACCUACCUCUUACAAAGGGAUAGCCUCGGGAAACCGUGAUUAAUACCAUAUGACACAUUCAUAAGGCAUCUUAAGAAUGUUAAAGCUACGGCGGUAAGCGAUGGGCUCGCGUCCCAUUAGCUAGUUGGUGAGGUAACGGCCCACCAAGGCGACGAUGGGUAACCGGCCUGAGAGGGUGAACGGUCACAUUGGAACUGAGACACGGUCCAAACUCCUACGGGAGGCAGCAGUGGGGAAUAUUGCACAAUGGAGGGAACUCUGAUGCAGCGACGCCGCGUGAGCGAUGAAGGAAUUCGUUUCGUAAAGCUCUGUUCUAUGGGAAGAAAAGGACUGUACCAUAGGAGAAAGCCCCGGCUAAAUACGUG